CACGUAGGGUGCGAGCGUUGUCCGGAAUUACUGGGCGUAAAGAGCUCGUAGGUGGUUUGUCGCGUUGUUCGUGAAAACUCACAACUCAAUUGUGGGCGUGCGGGCGAUACGGGCAGACUGGAGUACUGCAGGGGAGACUGGAAUUCCUGGUGUAGCGGUGGAAUGCGCAGAUAUCAGGAGGAACACCGGUGGCGAAGGCGGGUCUCUGGGCAGUAACUGACGCUGAGGAGCGAAAGCGUGGGGAGCGAACAGG
rnacentral:rRNA from 1 species